rnacentral:rRNA from 1 species
CCUACGGGAGGCAGCAGUGAGGAAUAUUGGUCAAUGGACGAGAGUCUGAACCAGCCAAGUAGCGUGAAGGAUGACUGCCCUAUGGGUUGUAAACUUCUUUUAUAAGGGAAUAAAACGUUCCACGUGUGGGUUUUUGCAUGUACUUUAUGAAUAAGGAUCGGCUAACUCCGUGCCAGCAGCCGCGGUAAUACGGAGGAUCCGAGCGUUAUCCGGAUUUAUUGGGUUUAAAGGGAGCGUAGGUGGGUUGUUAAGUCAGUUGUGAAAGUUUGCGGCUCAACCGUAAAAUUGCAAUUGAUACUGGCAGUCUUGAGUACAGUUGAGGUAGGCGGAAUUCGUGGUGUAGCGGUGAAAUGCUUAGAUAUCACGAAGAACCCCGAUUGCGAAGGCAGCUUACUACACCGGGACUGACACUGAUGCUCGAAAGCGCGGGUAUCAAACAGGAUUAGAUACCCGUGUAGUC